UAUGGGACCUAGUCAUCUGUAUGUUA
rnacentral:piRNA from 1 species